GGGAGAGAAGGGGCCGUGAAUGAGAACGAACGUGGGACUUGGGUGCGGGGAAAGCACAGGCGAGCAGCAUCGAGUACCGUUUGCGUUGACGGAAUAUGUAAGAAGGGAGCGAGAAGAGGGGCGCCUGGCAAGACGAUCCAUGGAAGCCAAGGAAGUGCCUGCUGCCCACCACUGCGCCGCAGACUCUGCCACUGGGGAUGAGCCCAGAGCCCUCCCGGGCACAGAGCUUAUCCCCAGGAGAGCUGUCAGUCGCUCUCCAACCUGCGCCCGCUGCCGAAACCACGGCGUCACUGCGCACCUCAAGGGCCACAAGCGCCUGUGCCUCUUUCAGACUUGCGAGUGUCACAAAUGUGUCCUCAUCUUGGAGCGCCGAAGGGUCAUGGCUGCCCAGGUGGCCUUGCGCAGGCAACAGGAGGCACAGCUAAAGAGGCACCUGGCUCAGGGACUCAUGAGGAGAGGGGCGGCCCCUCCCAAAGCUCCUAGCCGUGCCAAGAAGGGAGCCACUCGACCAGGGGUCCCCUCUGGAAAGGAGAACAUAGCACCCCAGCCUCAGACGCCCCAUGGGGCAGUCCCACUGGCACUGACACCCCCUGGGAAGGAUAACUCCCAGGGGCCUCUGCUGCUCAGCCGUCCCCCAGAAGCCUUGCCUUUGUCCUGGACUCCAAUGCCCCCAGGCCCUUGGGCUCCUGGACACUGGCUUCCUCCAGGCCUUUCCAUGCCACCCCCAGUGGUGUACCGCUUGCUAUACCAAGAACCUACUGUCCCUCUGCAUCCCUUUUCUGACUUUGACCCUGGCACUUCCCUCCGGCUGCCCACUCAUGGACCCCGCCCAACCUGCCCAGGAUCUUGCCCGAUACUGAUGGCUCCUCUUUCCAGAGAAUCCCAAGGGCCCUCUGCCUUGCCCCGCACAUGCUCGACUCUGAUACUCCAGCCCUGUGGCACCCCAGACCCUCUUCUGCUGCAGCCACAGGCGCCUGCAGCCUCUCGCCUGGCCUGGACCUCUGCCCCCUCAGAGCGGCAGCUGCAGCGGGAGGCAGCUGAGGCUCUUGUGGGUCUGAAAGAUUCUUCCCAGGCUCCCCGCCUGACCUCUUCUGUUCCUCCCAACCCUGCCUGGAUCUCCCUGCUCCACCCCUGUGGCCCACCAGGCAUGGGUACGAGUGAGGAAACCUGCAUGGAAGAACUGCUGGAAUGAAGGAGAUGAAGCUGGAGAGACUUCUGAUCAUGGAGGUGUGGCAUGCCAGGCUUAGGCAUCUAGAGCAGCCACUGUGCAUGAAGGGGAGCCAGGCUCCUGCUGGAGGAAGAGGAUUCCAGCCUGUUGGCCCCUCUCUCCGCCCCAGCCCAGCCCCCUCCGUAGCUCUGCAUAUUGGGCAUCUGGGCUCCAUCUCCCUCCUAAGCUAGAAGCCCAGAGGUUGAGAUCUCACUUGAGCAAGGGGCAAGAGCCUGCAGUCACUGCAUAUUUGGUAUUUUGCCUCUGGAUUUAUGCAUGGAAUAUAAUAUAGUGCAAGCUUCCAGCUUUUUUUUUUUUUUUUUAAGCUUUAUUGUGCUUUGUUAGCUUUUGGUUCCUUUUGUAGUGUGGGUAUUUCCUUGACUGAAAGUGGAUAUCCUCUUACCCACUUGGGUCCGGGGACCUUUUUAAAUACCCAACAAAGUGAGAGUUAUGCAAUUUAAGCUAACAAGUAUCUAAAUAGGUUUUUGCAUGAGUUCAUGUUCCAGAAUAUUUGACAUGUGAUUCUGUACGUACUUGUGCACUUAUGUCUGUCUCCAUGCGUGCAAAAACAGGAGGGUAUUUUCAUUUUGUGUCUACGUUUGGGUGAGUAACCGAAAAAUAAACCUUUGUUGUUUUAAGCCA